AGGUAAGGGAGGGUUUCAGCACCUGUCCUCCGCCUCCUUUUCUAACGUCACUUCCGGUCCUUUCAGAGUCAGGAACUACAUCUCCCAGAGUGCUCCGGGAGGGGAGGGGGGUGCUUCCGCCCUCUCCAGCUCAGGCUGCAGAAUAAUGUCCAUGUUUUGCUCCAGUUCAUCCCGUCCUCUCAUUGGACAGGGCAGAGAAAUGGCUGCAGAGGAGCCAGUUCAGGGGCCGGUGACCUUCGAGGAGGUGGUUGUGUAUUUCACCAGGGAAGAAUGGGCUCUGCUGGACCCCACUCAGAGAGCCCUCUACUGGGAUGUCAUGCAGGAGAACUAUGAGAUUGUGAUCUCGUUGGGUAAGGGUUACUGUCCCCUUGGUUCUUGGAAGGGGAAAUGAAGAGUUAAGGUUCACGCCAGCCCCACAAUGCCACCUCUACUCUGUCCUGUUUCAGCAUCACCCCAAUAUGCCAGUGACAUACCCACUACCGGAGACCUUCCCCUGCUGCAGAACACUUUGGGAACAGAGCACAGGAGUAAUAUCGCACAGUGUCAAAUAUCUCGUUUGCUCAGGGUUUCCAGUUUCCAAAUCUGAUGUGAUCUCUCAGCUGGAACAAGGGGAAGAAUCAUGGGUCUCAGAUCUCCAGGGUUCAGAGGAAAGACAGAUCCUGAGAGCUCCCUGCACAGCAGGUGAUGCAAUGGUAUGUGACAAAGAGGAGCAGAAUUCUCAGCAGGAAAAUGUUGAGCAAGUGGAUAAACGCAGAGCAUUAUCGCAAAGAUCAAAAAGGAAUGUGUCCAGGAGUUAUGAGAAGGAAAAAUCCUGUGAAAUUCAGCACAGACCAGAAAGAGUGCAGGGAAACCAGCCAGGGGAGAAAAUGGGUAAAUUUAUUUCCUGUCGGGGAACUCAGAAGAGCGUCAAGGAAACCACAACACAGCAGGAAAUCCUCAUGGGAAAGAGGAAAAAUACAUGCAGUGAGUGUGGAAAAUGCUUCACUCAAAGAUCAAAUCUUGUUCAGCAUGAGAGAAUCCACACAGGCGAGAGGCCCUAUGAAUGCAGUGAGUGUGGGAAAACCUUCACUCAAAGAUCAGGCCUUUUUCUCCAUUGGAGAAUCCACACAGGGGAGAGGCCCUACAAAUGCCAUGAGUGUGGGAAAAGCUUCAUUAGCAGCUCAGCCCUUUCUAAACAUCAGAGAAUCCACACAGGGGAGAGGCCCUAUGAAUGCCGUGAG